CAGGUAGGGAAUCUUCCACAAUGGACGAAAGUCUGAUGGAGCAACGCCGCGUGAGUGAAGAAGGGUUUCGGCUCGUAAAACUCUGUUGUUAAAGAAGAACAUAUCUGAGAGUAACUGUUCAGGUAUUGACGGUAUUUAACCAGAAAGCCACGGCUAACUACGUGCCCG
rnacentral:rRNA from 1 species